GCCCACAUAGCUCAAUUGGUAGAGCAACUGUUUUGUAAACAGUAGAUUAACGGUCCAAGUCCGUUUGUGGGCCCA
rnacentral:tRNA from 1 species